CAGACUGAGAGACAGACAGAGGUUUUUUUAAGGAAGCGGAAGUAGCCGGCGCUGUGCGGUGCGGCGGGUCACGUGACGUGAGGUGUGCUUUCCGUGAUUCCCGGUGCUGUAGGCUGUGAGCGGUUAUAGCGCUUUUUAUAAAGGCGUCAUUAGACAGGGAUGUAUUUCCGGCGGGCAGUGAGGCUGGCGUGCGUGGUCGCCGGAGGAUCCACGGCGGUGGCGGUCGCGUACGCUGCGUGGGCGGAUGGACACCGGGAGGUGUUGCGGUCCAGCGCCGGACUCGGGGCCGUGAUCCAUGCUGCCCAGCCUGCUACACCCUCCAGCUGGGAUAAUAACUGGGAUAAGAGAGAUCCGUCGUCUAUCAGCAGCAGCAGCAGGAGGAAAGUAAGUGGAGGAGAUGAGAACGGUGUGGAGACGGAGAACAACAAACCCACGGCCACGCGACACAUCUUCCUCAUCAGACACUCACAGUACAACCUGAACGGCAACGGAGACAAGGAGAAGAGACUCACUGCUUUAGGUCGCGAGCAGGCGGAGUUAACAGGACAGAGGUUGGCAUCUCUCGGCCUGAAGUACAACUUACUGAUCCACUCCAGCAUGGCACGAGCCACCGAGACCGCUCAGAUCAUCAGUACUCACCUGCCAGAAGUGAACAUGGUGAGCUGUGAUCUCCUGCGAGAAGGAGCUCCUAUUGAACCUGUUCCUCCUGUCAGUCACUGGAAACCUGAGGCUGUGCAGUACCAUGAGGAUGGCGCUCGAAUCGAGGCAGCGUUCCGGCGCUACAUCCACCGAGCCGAGCCGAGUCAGAAGGAGGACAGCUACGAGAUCAUCAUCUGUCACGCUAACGUCAUCCGCUAUUUUGUGUGCAGAGCUUUGCAGUUUCCUCCUGAAGGCUGGCUGCGUUUGGGCCUCAAUAACGGCAGCAUCACGUGGCUCACGGUUCGGCCGAGCGGAAGGGUGGCACUGCGGGCGCUGGGGGACUCGGGCUUCAUGCCACCUGACAAAGUGACACGCACCUGACACUCCCAACCCGAACCAGAACCUGAACCCCCCCAAUCAGAAACUCAUCCCACACAACGUCCAGCCGUAUCUGAAGUCUUGGAGGAAACACUUUCUGUCUGUACUGAACUUCUUACCGACCACAGAGUCAGAAAGGCAGAGUGACUCUGUACCGACUCAUCUUUUAUAUGACUCUGACUCAUUUAUAUGACUCUGACUCAGGACUGACUACUCCAUAUGACUCUGACUUGGUUCUGAUUCAUCUAUAUGAUUCUGAUUCAGUAUUGACUCAUCUAUAUAACUCCAAUUUACUACUGACUCAUCUUCUAUGCGACUCUGACUCAGUACUGAUUCAUAUUUUUCAUUUGGUUCUGAUUCAUUUCUGAUCUGAUGAUGAAAAACCUGAUGUUCAUGUCUUAAAUUCUUAGUGUGUGGUGGUGGUGGUGGUGGUGUGUGUGUGUGUGUGUGUGUGUGUGUGUGUGUGUGUGUGUGGUGUAUUCUAUGAUUGUGGUGUGAGUCUGAUCCCUGAGUGAAGUGUCUGAUUACUCCUGAUGAACAGACUCGACUUGUAAACACAAGAAAACCCCAGCAUUGUGUGUGUGUGUGUGUGAGAUCAGCAGUGCUCUGUAACACACACUGUAGUGUUUUUGUGGGAGCAGGAUCUUCUGACUCCUGAACGGGUUUUUGUGAGAUGUGUGACUGAUACAAAUCCUGAGGCCUUGAUGUGUGAUGAUCGUUUUCACGUCAAAAUCAUCACACACCUCAACCUUAUUUUGAAUCCAAAUGUUUUUUCUCAAAGCCAGCACUCUGUGUGUGUGUGUGUGUGUGUGUGUGUGUGUGUGUGUGUGUGUGUGUGUGUGUGUGUGUGUGUGUGUGUGUGUGAGAACGUGUGAAAAAACAUACAUGGACGAAUUGGCAACGUUUAUUACUGAAGUGAAAUAAAACAGAACUCAUCUGCUGAAUCCAGACAGAGUUGCGUUUGGGACCAGCAGGUGGCGCUGCAAGGGGGACGUCCCCCAUCUCUUCACCAUAUGAAGCUGUGCUACAGAGUUCUACCACAUGAACAAUUCAUUAGCGUUCUUCAUUCAGCUAGUUUUCUCCAACACGUCAGAGUACCGCGUACAUUUCAAUACGUCUGCAUCAGCCAUAAAUAAUUACGGAUACAAAUCUACACUCAUACGUACACUUACACACACACACACACACACACACAUA